rnacentral:sRNA from 1 species
UUUUUUUUUGCUUUUUU